rnacentral:rRNA from 1 species
UACAGAGGUCUCAAGCGUUGUUCGGAUUCAUUGGGCGUAAAGGGUGUGUAGGUGGCGCCGUAAGUCGGGUGUGAAAUUUCGGAGCUUAACUCCGAAACUGCAUUCGAUACUGCGGUGCUUGAGGACUGGAGAGGAGACUGGAAUUUACGGUGUAGCAGUGAAAUGCGUAGAUAUCGUAAGGAAGACCAGUGGCGAAGGCGGGUCUCUGGACAGUUCCUGACGCUGAGGCACGAAGGCCAGGGGAGCAAACGGGG